rnacentral:rRNA from 1 species
UACGGAAGGCAGCAGUGGGGAAUAUUGCACAAUGGGCGCAAGCCUGAUGCAGCCAUGCCGCGUGUAUGAAGAAGGCCUUCGGGUUGUAAAGUACUUUCAGUCGUGAGGAAGGUGUUAAGGUUAAUAACCUUAGCAAUUGACGUUAGCGACAGAAGAAGCACCGGCUAACUCCGUGCCAGCAGCCGCGGUAAUACGGAGGGUGCGAGCGUUAAUCGGAAUUACUGGGCGUAAAGGGCACGCAGGCGGUUAAUUAAGUUGGAUGUGAAAUCCCCGGGCUUAACCUGGGAAUGGCAUUCAAGACUGGUUAGCUAGAGUCUUGUAGAGGGGGUAGAAUUCCGAUGUGUAGCGGUGAAAUGCGUAGAGAUGUGGAGGAAUACCGGGUGGCGAAGGCGGCCCCUGGGACAAAGGCUGACGCUCAUGUGCGAAAGCGUGGGGAGCAAACAGGAUUAGAUACC